ensembl:lncRNA
CACACACACACACAGGCUAGUGGAACAGAUCAUCAUUCAAUUAGCUCUUGUUGACGAAGGGCCAAACAGGGCCACAUCGGUUUCUGUAGCACAAGCUGACGAAUGCGUUUUAGAGUCAAUAAACCUGGAGGCCUGGGAAACGAUGAUUAGGCUGAAAGUGAAGAAGAGGAGGAAGAUAAAGCCCUGGCUGCUAAAUACGACCCAGAAUCGUGACAAAAGGUGAAGAGGAGAGACGGGUGAGCGGCGGGUUAAAGACUGAGACAAUGAAGGAAUAAGGACUCGGAGAAGCCGGAGGGAGAAAAGGUAGUAAAAGGAAGGAAAGGAAGAGAGAGAGGAGGCAGUCUGAGGAAGUAAUUUCGGUGCAGCCUGUGUGGGGGAGCACUGCACACACGGGGUCCCUCUCCCUCCAACAUAUCGCAGCUACACAAUCAGACGCACACAGCAGGAGAUACUGCGUAAUGCUGCCUCCGUCUUGCCCUUUUACAGCGCUGUAAUGAGACGCCGGGUUCAGUGUCGAUUCCAAAGGAGCUUUUACUUCUGUCGGCGCACACGAUGAAAGGCAACCGUCAUCAGUGUGCUCAUGUGUGCUCUUUGAUUAGUGUCGCCUCGUAAUGCCCCCCCCUGGGGUGUGUACCUGGGUUCAUGAGGCCGGCACACUUACGCCGCUCUUGUGUAAAGGGUAGGAAAGAAAAUGCAUCGGAAGGCGCUUUUCUGUUUUUUUUUGGGGUCCACCAAAGGACUCAGUGUCCCAUUUAGGAGGCGUCUCUGGCCGGUGUUACACUGCUUAGUGGACAGUUUUCACUGCAGUACUAUACUAGGGAAUACUAGGGUAUAGUAUACUCUAGUAUUCUGUGCAGUAAAGGACAUUUUGUGAUAAAUAGUUGGUCUUCGGUGAUAAAGAAUACACACUGUCACAAAAAGAGGCAAAUGAGAAAUACUUCUGUUUUCACCGGUUAAACCUCAUGCUGUCAUUCUUUUUGAGGAAGACCUUCAUGGAGACGGUUUUCAUCCUUUUUUCAACAUAACUGGCAUUUUUGUCAGUGAUCAAAAGCAGAAUGCUCUCUAAUUUUGAAGUAGAAAGGGAUUUUUGAGGCUCAGGGGAGGCGAGUCAUCUAUAAACCAGGGGAACGAGGAAAAAGCGGAGCCGUCAAUCACUGAGUCCGCUUAGCAGUCAACGGGUUUUUCAUUUACCUCAAACACGAGUCCAAACUGCCAAAACCUCUGGCAAAGGUGGAACGAUUUAGAUGAACACACACAUUCUAAUUAAAAUGUAAAAAGAAUCCCCUAACAAGUUACAUUUGUAAUGGCUUUAUAAUGAAUUAACGUUGUAGUCUUAGUUUUCAACAAUCCACGUUUCAGCGGCCUCUUGUAUCAAAAGAUACAGCAUGCGGAGCCUCGUGGGUUCCCGUUAAAAUGUGAUGAUGUCGCUGUUGUGCCACUCCUCCUUCGCCUUCCCUUUCUCGAUGUUCCUCACUGUGUUUGCGGAGCGCCCCCUGAGAUUUUGGGCAAGUGGGUUUUAUUUAUUGCUGUGCUGAUUUAAACUGGUCUCUUUAAUCACACUAACUUCAUAAUUAUAAUAAUAAUUAAUCUAUGUGAACAUCUUUAACACACACUUCCCCUUUCAUCUGCAAAUUCAUCAAUUCCCCAAAAGGGCUUCACAAUCUCUGUGAUUCUAUCACAAUAACAGCACACUGUAUAAUUAUUCUGAUGGAGAGAUGUGAUUUAUUAAACUGCAGCCGCUUUGGAAAUCAGCUCAUUAAAUGUUUCCACAUGCAUUCAUAACCUGUUCUUUUCUAUUUUAAUCCCUCCACGUCUUUGAGGUGAUCCUCCUUUGCAUGGUGAACGUGCACUUUAAUGCACUGGAUUAACCGCUCACCUGAAGCAGCAUCAGUUAUGUCCAUUCAUGUAUUCAGAACGUACAGUAUUGUUUCUCUCUUGUGUCUCGUGGCAUCUCAUCAAUAUUUGGAGCAAUGGAGGAAUUUGAACUGUCCAAUCCAGUUGCUUGAAUGUCUUUUUCCAGAGCUCAAAGAACAUUUUACCUGCAUUCAAUAAAAGGUCACCAGGCAAAUGAAUAAUAAUGUGUAUUGUUUAAUGAAACAUAACCUUAAUAUGUCGGUGAUUUACAGCCCUUAACUUAAAUAAAUUUCAUGUUUAAUAUUAUCUGAUCACCACAG